rnacentral:lncRNA from 1 species
UGAAACGAUAGUUGCGUACUGUAACUCUAGAUUCUAUGAGUAUAGGCGCAGCCUUUUAAGGCUAUCGCUAUUGGGUUAUCCCUAGGCGUGAGCCGUAGCACUGAAACAUUUUCCCACCAACAGCGUGGGCCUCAAUUACGUCCGCGUGUGGCGUGCCUCAACGACGUCCGCAUUUCGCAGAUAUAGUCGGGCGCCGCCGGCGGUCGUUCUGUUCCCAAUAAACAGCUUUUCUUCAGCUAUUUAAAGGACAAUGAGGCCGACACUUAAAAGGCUGCGCCUAGAAUCAUAGAAUCUAGAGUUACAAUACGUAACUAUCGUUUCAUUUACUGUACAAUUCAGAAUUGAAUGAGAGGAGGGCUGUCAAUCAAAUAUCGCGCUUCAGAAACGGCCAAUCAUAGAAAAGCCCAACCUCCCUUGGUUCCCUCCCCCAUAGUGCCAAAACUAAAUUCGCGCGCGAGAGCAGAACAUCAUUCGCGAGAGGCUGUUGCGCACACACACACACACACACACACACACACACACACACACACACACACACACACACACACACACACACACACACACACACACACACAACCACACACACACACACACACACACACACACACACACACACACACACACACACACACACACGCAUUUUUUGAUUUGUCAAUAUGUUCAGUUAUUUUGGAAUCGUUCUUGUUGUUAAAUGUGUGUAGGUUAGGCAGGCAAGGCAGUAGGGUUAAACGGGUUAACAGAGUGUGAUUUUUGUUCUCAUGCAGAAGACCAGCUAUGUUUUCCGUUGUCUGCUUUGACAAUUCCGAGGAGGUGGAGGUUGUGCCAACGCAAUGGUACAAUAAUGGGGCGUGCAGGUGGCCCCCCCACAAGGCUGAGGGAGUCAAUUGGGCCAUAAGGCAGCUGGAAGAGCCCCAGGAUAACUGGCCUCUAUUUGACAAUGCCAGGGUUUUUUUUUCUUCAGAUAACUAUCUGGAGUGUCGACAGAAGCUGCCACUGGCUCAAAACCAGACGGAUUUGGCAUCAGAGGUCGAAGACCCAACAACAUACCGGAGACCCAAAAGAAAAAUCAAUCCUCCAAAGAAACAGGCCUUCCCAAUCCUCCCUGAGGCCCCUGCUAUCGCUGGACCGUCCAACUUCAGGCGCUUCAUACUAGCGCAGCCCACUCAAAGUGGGUGUUAUGAGGUCCCUGUGAACAAUGAGCAGCCUCAGGGUUUUCAGGUAGUCGAAUUGCAGAAGUAA